UUGAGGAGAAUAAAUAUUUGGUCUUUUCUGUUUAUAUAAAAAAGGCUCAAUUGUAUUUUUAAGCUUUCAUUCAUAUAAAGUCGAGCAAACAGUUUCCGAUUCAACCGGUAGCGGCGCCAUAUAAUAUGAAUUCCACAUUGGUCAUUGUGAUUUAGUGCCACCUUACGUGUUAUAUCCAGUGAUGAGCUGGAAAAAUCGUAACAACCGGAACGCACCUAAUUCGCAAAAAUGUAAUAUAUUUACAACAAGACGCGGACAGAAUGUUUUGACUGUCCUAAGAUAGAGUCGAAGAACUGCAAUGAAAUAUGGAGAAAUUAUCUGAAAUAUGUCUGUGUAGAAUUACAAGAAUAUUUAUAGCAAUCCAAUACAAAUGUUAUUUUUAGAAAGGUAUAAGAUGAAUUUCCAUGGGAUUAAAGGUCGGGGAAAUAUCUUUUACACGUUACUUUUGUACUAAUUAUUUGCGCGAUGUGAUGUAAGAAUUACGAAUUAUAUUGUAACAAAACAUAAAUUAAUAACUAGUUUAACCAGAGAAACUAGACUUUUUGUACCAUAAUUUUAUUUUAACAACAGGAACGCAAAUGCAAUAAAAUGUCCAACAACCGGAACGCCGUUCCGGUGCGUUCCGGCUACAGCUCACCACUGGUUAUAUCUGAUGUACAGCUAUUUUCACUUUAGAUAAUUGAUAUUGUCUGGCUCGAUAUCAUUUUUGCCGGUACUUCGGAAAUGCGAUUCAAUUCGAUCGUGCAACUUUAAAAUAUACGAAUAUUUGGCAUUACAAUAAAUUGUGUGCCUAUUGACCUCUGAGGACUAUAAUAAAACGGGAGCAAGAACACGCAGAUAUAGGGACACUCAAUUCCCUAUACCAAAUUGCCAAGUAUUACAAGAGAUGAAAAAUAUCAAGACGAAACUGGUUAUCAUUUUUUUCAGACUUUUUCCGAGUGUUGUCCUCGGAUAUUUUAUCGGAAUGCAUUUCCGUGCAGAUUGGUGCGGAAGCCGCUUGAGACAAAGAAGUUGGAACGAAAUUGAAGAACACUUACAAUCAGUCAAACUUAAACCCCAAAUAUAUCAGAGAACCCGUCUAAGUCAAACCAAAGGAUUAAUAUAUAUUGGUAAGAUCAA